CCCCUUCACAUUACCCCUGCCUACCACUAUAUUAGAGGUGUUACCUUGUGUAACUAUGGCAAUAAAUGGCUGUAUGAAAUAAGCGGAUUGGACCCGGGGGCGGAACCCGGCGCCUCCACCAAAAGAACUCUUAUGGGGGCGAAUUAGGAUCGACAACCGUAGUAAAGAUAUCGCUUUUGCUCGGCAUGAUACCGCCGUAAUGGAUCACAUUUUAUAGAUGCAAACGAUAACUUUGCUCUUGUUGCUGCUAACGACAACACCGUCGUAGCAGCUCGUGCAGCUGCCUAAUUGGCACUGCUUGAGUUCUAGACAGUAACGCGGCCCGGGGGGAGCCGGGCAACAGGAUCCCCCCACU
rnacentral:tmRNA from 1 species